AUCCCGAUGCUAUUUCUAGAGAUAGAAAGUUACUUCGGUACAUCGGUGACAGGUGGUGCAUGGUUGUCGUCAGCUCGUGUCGUGAGAUGUUGGUUAAGUCCCGCAACGAGCGCAACCCCUAUUGUUAGUUUGCCAUCAUUCAGUUGGGCACUCUAGCGAGACUGCCGGUAAUAAACCGGAGGAAGGUGGGAUGACGUCAAAUCAUCAUGCCCCUUAUGACCUGGGCUACACACGUGCUGCAAUGGUUGGUACAACGAGUUGCGAGUCGGUGACGGCGAGCUAAUCUCUUAAAGCCAAUCUCAGUUCGGAUUGUAGGCUGCAACUCGCCUACAUGAAGUCGGAAUCGCUAGUAAUCGCGGAUCAGCACGCCGCGGUCCGAAUACGUUCCGGCCUU
rnacentral:rRNA from 1 species